UUUCCGUAGGUGAACCUGCGGAAGGAUCAUUAUUGUAUAACCGAGGUGCGAGGGCUGUCGCUGACCCGAAAGGUCGUGCACGCCCGAGUGCCCUCACACACAUCCCUCUCACCCCUAUGUGCACCACCGCGUGGGUCCCCCUUUGGCUUGUUCGGAGGGGGGCUUACGUUUUCACACAAACUUUGUAUGCAGUGUAGAAUGUAUUUUUUGUUUUUGCGAUCACGCAAUCAAUGCAACUUUCAACAACGGAUCUCUUGGCUCUC
rnacentral:misc_RNA from 1 species